rnacentral:sRNA from 1 species
ACUUAUAAAACCAUGUAGCCAGGUGAGUAAUAGUGGCAAUCUCUAUAGUAAGAAACACUGGUGAUCACUACUUUUUAUUAGGUCUCACAUAAUCUGUAGAAUUAUUUAUUUGAUUCCAAUGAUGUGAUACAAUGGAUACUGAAUAACCUUCUCUCUUCCUUCUUUUCUUUCCCAGUGUGAAGAGUGGCCAGAUUCGAAAUCUGGAGUCUGCCCGUGUCUCAAUGGUUGGCCAAGUCAAACAGUGUGAAGGAAUUACAAGUCCAGAAGGCUCAAAAUCUAUAGUGGAAGGAAUCAUAGAGGAAGAAGAAGAAGAUGAGGAAGGAAGUGAGUCUAUAAGCAAGAGGAAAAAGGAAGAUGACAUGGAGACCAAGAAAGACCAUCCAUACACCUGGAGAAUUGAACUGGCAAAAACAGAAAAAUACUGGGACGGCUGGUUCCGAGGCUUAUCCAAUCUCUUUCUUAGUUGUCCCAUUCCUAAAUUGCUGCUCUUGGCUGGUGUUGAUAGAUUGGAUAAAGAUCUGACCAUUGGCCAGAUGCAAGGGAAGUUCCAGAUGCAGGUCCUACCCCAGUGUGGCCAUGCAGUCCAUGAGGAUGCCCCUGACAAGGUAGCUGAAGCUGUUGCCACUUUCCUGAUC